AAUUUGUUUUGUACUAUAUUUCUUUAAAUUGUCGGCUGGUCAUGGUUUUUGUUAUUAGAACAUGGCGUAAAUGCAACAUGUGAGUUUGCAAAAGUUCGAAUGCAAGAGAUCAACAGGGCUCACUCAGUUUUCGUAAAUAUCUAUCUGAGAAGUCUGGCUGAGAGAAUGGUACUUCGACUAAUUAUGGUCUAACUUUGUUAAUUCAAGAACACAGUACUGGCAGUGAUACUGGUUUUUGUUAGUUGCGGUAUUUUUGGAUUACACCUGGUAAAUGUGUCAAUUCAUGAAGAAAUUCAGACGCUCAAAUGAGUUCUUUUACAAUAAUGUGAAGAGGAAAGAGACCACACAAAGUGAUGAUGCGUAACAGUCAGGCUGCAAGCAAGCUACCAGUUUCAUAAUAUGAUUACCAUCUAUUCAGAAAUACAAAGAAGAUGAGAAGUGGGAGUUUCUGCUGGAAGGGUUUGCUGCAUUAAUGAAAGUUGAAAGGGUUGAAACGAAAAUUGUUGGCAAGUACGUAGCAAUUUCACUUAUUCUUCAGUUAAAGAAUGAAAAACAUUUAAUUGUUUUGCAUCAUGGUGUUUACUGCUUCAGAAUAGCGAAAAGAAAAAAGAUCGCAUUCACUUUCUAUGGAAGUACUAUUGUAAUAUUGCUUUGAACAGCAUAUUUAAUUAUGCAACGAUCUAACUGAAUUUCAAACUUACUGAAAAAUUUAAUUUCUGUGAAUAAGCUCACACUCAACUCUCAUUCCACUGAAAGUUAUGUAGCCAGCCAAAUUGCAACUUUGGUCAUGUUUUGUAACUUCACAUCAAUAUCAUAAUUUGUUUCUUUAGAAAAAAAAAUACUUUCGA